rnacentral:lncRNA from 1 species
GAUGAACGAUUCUUAAUAUUGUCAUAAUUCUACACUAGAACAGAGAUAAAACGUCUCGGAGUCACGACUUUGAUAAUUUAUUACAAUAAAGCACGCUUGUAAAACGUGCAAUCUUUCCCUCUCAAUAUGAAGAUCACACUGAUUUUAUUUGCUGUUUGCUUCAUUGGUAAGUGUAUUUCUUUUUACAAAGUUUGUGUAUAUGGUCCGAAGUUAUUUAUUGCUUCUUGCUACAUUUGUAAUUUCUGACAAUUUCUUGGAGACUGUUUAAAACUAUGGUAUGACUACUAGUCAGUAAGUGGUGUCGAAUGACGAGAAUAAAUGAUGAGGCUUUCUAAGUAAGUGUUUUUGUAGUUGAAAUAAUAGUUUCCGAUGGUUUUUGUCUAAUUUCUGGGACGUCAGCUUCCAUGUUUUCUAUAAUUAUAAAUCUCUGAGGUUCUACGAUCCCGGCAAGCCGUAAAAAGUCCGUCAGAUGUCAGAACAAUUUAGAUUUCGACUAUAGUAAUACUAAAAUUUAUACCUACCAUUAUACAUUUUUUGACCAAAAUUUAUCAUAAAAAAACAUAUUGAUUGUAUAAGAAUUAGACUAAAAGUAUUCUGUUCAUUUAAUUUUGUAUUUUACAAUAUUAACUAUUUAAAGGGUUAACUGCAGUUACAAAUGAUCACCAGGACUUUUCGCCACCAGUGUCCGUGAUUAGGGUGGCAUCAAUUCGCUAAGGUUUAUGAAAAUGUUGACACAUAAGAUGACCCAUAGCUGUUAAUCUAUGUGUCAUUUUGUCUCUUUGUGGAGAGUUGUCUCGUUGGCAUUCAACAUAUUCUCUUUUCCCAAUGGCAAUAAACAUUGGCCUCCUUUCAUCUGAGAGGCCUGCCUCGCUUAUUUAUGGUUUAUUUUGUUCUUUCUACCUAAAUCUCCAUGAACUACUCGCCACUGGACAUGUAUCAUACACUAAUUAAUUAUCUCUUUACUUUUUGUGAUAAUAGUGGUGAAUGGGGAAACUUGUCCCGGAGGUCUUGUGACAGAAUGUGUUCACACGUUGUGUGAUGACGUGUCAGAACUACACUGUGUUGACAACAACUGUGUGUGUACUUUAACUGGAUCAAG